rnacentral:rRNA from 1 species
GAUGAACGCUGGCGGCGUGCCUAAUACAUGCAAGUCGAGCGAACGGACGAGAAGCUUGCUUCUCUGAUGUUAGCGGCGGACGGGUGAGUAACACGUGGAUAACCUACCUAUAAGACUGGGAUAACUUCGGGAAACCGUAGCUAAUACCGGAUAAUAUUUUGAACCGCAUGGUUCAAAAGUGAACGACGGUCUUGCUGUCACUUAUAGAUGGAUCCGCGCUGCAUUAGCUAGUUGGUAAGGUAACGGCUUACCAAGGCAACGAUGCAUAGCCGACCUGAGAGGGUGAUCCGCCACACUGGAACUGAGACACGGUCCAGACUCCUACGGGAGGCAGCAGUAGGGAAUCUUCCGCAAUGGGCGAAAGCCUGACGGAGCAACGCCGCGUGAGUGAUGAAGGUCUUCGGAUCGUAAAACUCUGUUAUUAGGGAAGAACAUAUGUGUAAGUAACUGUGCACAUCUUGACGGUACCUAAUCAGAAAGCCACGGCUAACUACGUG